rnacentral:rRNA from 1 species
UGGGGAAUAUUGCACAAUGGGCGCAAGCCUGAUGCAGCCAUGCCGCGUGUGUGAAGAAGGCCUUCGGGUUGUAAAGCACUUUCAGCGAGGAGGAAGGGCAGUGUGUUAAUAGCACAUUGCUUUGACGUUACUCGCAGAAGAAGCACCGGCUAACUCCGUGCCAGCAGCCGCGGUAAUACGGAGGGUGCAAGUGUUAAUCGGAAUUACUGGGCGUAAAGCGCACGCAGGCGGUUUGUUAAGUCAGAUGUGAAAUCCCCGCGCUUAACGUGGGAACUGCAUUUGAAACUGGCAAGCUAGAGUCUUGUAGAGGGGGGUAGAAUUCCAGGUGUAGCGGUGAAAUGCGUAGAGAUCUGGAGGAAUACCGGUGGCGAAGGCGGCCCCCUGGACAAAGACUGACGCUCAGGUGCGAAAGCGUGGGGAGCAAACA